ACUUAAUUGUUUGUUUAAAAUUGGUUUCAGUUCAUGUUGUCUAGGUAAUAGAGUUUUUUUCCCCUAUAUUCAUGUUGUUUCUGUCCAAACCAAAUCUCUAUUCUUGUGUCUGUUAUGUUAGUAGAGCACGUGUACAUUGGUUUUCGAAAUUUCCUAUUAUGGUUCUGAUAAGAAGGAAUCAAAGCAUAAUCUUGAGGUAGUAAAUCUACUGAUGCUUUCAGGUGGGACUUGGAAUUGAGAAAGAGAGAAAUUCAACUCGUCGAAGCCCCGAUUCGAAGAUGUUGAGGUAUCCUCUGAUGAAGAUGGGUAGCAAAAAAAAUAAAAAACUCUUACGCUGGCUUCACAAUAUGAAAGAAAAGAAAACAAAAAGAAUAAAGGUUAAAUCUCUCCUACACACACCUUUUAUAUCAGUCUUUCUUCUUUCUUUUUUGUUGUUUCCCCCACACAAUGAUUCUACAAUCUUUAUGAGUCAAUGUUUCUGUGUAUUCCUGUCGGUAAAAGUUUUUGGAAGCAACAGAUGAACUGUGGGUGAAGAUGCAUAUGCCAUUGUGAAAAGACACAAGAAGUAGCUAGUUGUCUGGUCCUCUAUGAGUUGGUUGAAGAUGGUUUUUACUUAGUCCGGUUUAAAGAAUCAGCUUCUCUUAUUCACCACUAUGGUUCGGUUAGUGGAGUUGUUUGCGUUGUUAUCCUUAGAACCAAUGUCUUCAUUUCUAUUAAUAAAAUUAAGAGAACAUUGUACGAGACAAAGAUCCUUUUAGCCAAGUUUUAGCAACAAAAUGAAACCCUAA